GGUGACAUGACCGAGUGGUAAGGCAGAGGACUGCAAAUUCUUUUUUUUUUUUUUCCAGUUCAAAUUCAAAUGUCGCCU
rnacentral:tRNA from 1 species